AUCGCAGUAGGAAUUGGAUGCAAAAAUCUGGGACUGGAUGGGAUUUAAAUGGCUUUGCUUCUAAAACAGAGUUGCUGUUUGCCUUCAAACAAAUGUCUGAAGUGAUAUUAUGAUACAAAAUCUACAAAGCUGUUGAAAGGAGAUGCAUUUCAAGUGUGCAGCUCUGGUGCCUCGAGAACAGAGCCUGAACCAGCUGCUUUGAAGAGAUCUUGGGACUGAAGGACUGAGCUGAGUAAUUUCUAAGGCAGCUCAUGACAACAGAGGAAAGAGCAGAUCAUGGCCCCAAAUCCUGCCCUGGAGCUGAGCAGGGCUCAAGGAGUGGCCCCGUGUGGAGAAGCAGAUGGAGCUCUGCAAACUAUCAGCAUGCUGGAUUUUAUGGAGCAUUUCUGGAGCUGAGGGACAACUGUCUGGGAAUUUCCAGGCGGCUCCAGGCCUUUCUCUCGGUGCCUUUGCAGCCAGCUCUGAUCUCUGCUCCCUCAGCUCCUGCCAGUGCCUCCGAGCCCUGCCUGGCUACACGUGUGCAGGUGGUAAAACACUGACUGCCAUGAACUUCAUCAGGAGAAAAAAAAAAAAGAAAAAAAAAAAAAAGAGGAAAAAGCUGUGGUUUGGAAGCAGCUGGAUGGCAAACUGCAGGCUGGGAAUGUGGCUGCCAAAACCACCACAAGGAGAGUAGGGCAUAGAGGCAUUUGUGGAGCAUUCUGUUUGCUAAUUGCUCAUGGAAUUUCAGAUUGAAAGAGAAGAAAGGAAUCUACCAGGUGGCUGCAUCUUGAAAAACAGGCCUUGCCUUCCUGUCCCAUUUUGCAGCAGUCCUGUGUGUGGGAGAAGUACAGCUGUGGGAUGCCUGAUGAACAGAGGUGCUUGAACAACUGGCCUUCAGCUCUGUCACCUUUUUUUGGUGCUUGCAAAAAAACCAAAAUGAAACAAAGCAAAACCAACCACACACACAAAAAAAGAUAAAAAAAUCCAAGCCAAAGAUAGUUUAUGUACAGCUCAGGAAGCUCUCAGCAAUGAGUGUGUCUGUGAUUUAAUAACACACCUACCCAAAAUGACACCUCUUCUACUACUCACUGAGAAAAAGAAGGCAAAGCUGCACACAGGGCACUGCUGUUGCAGCAACAAGCAGCCAAACUACCAGGUAUUUAUUUUUCAAUGUACACAAUUAUUGGGGGAGAAUAAAAAUUAUUCUUUGACACUCUGAGAGAGCCGUAAAAAGCCCUGUGCUUCCCCUACUCCCAUGGUCCUGGCAAGAGCCACCUCACAAAUUCUAAUAAAUAGAGAAUAGAAAUAAAUACUUUAACUACACAGCAUCGGGUUUCAAAUGGCUUCCUGAAUCAGAAAGUGCUGCUAGUCCAUCUUCCUUAUUUCCACACUCUGUAAUGGUGGCUCUCCAAAAGUCAAAGUGAGAUGGAUACUACAAGGAUCACAGACACUACACUGGGAAACCAAGUAUCAGUGGCUACAUCCAGAUUUAUGGUAGGUGAUGGCAGUAAAGUGAAAGUAAAACUGUUUGCACAGUCUGUAUUGUUGGCCAUUACUGUGUAUUUGCCCUUUUUUCUUGCUUAGCUGCAGCUGGAAGAAUGGAAAAUUGUACCUUCUCUACAGUAUUAGAAGACACUUUCUGAUCGUAAGGUCAAUCAGACUGGUUUAGCUGCUUGAGGUAUUUAUGGCACCAUCACUCAGUGUCUUUAAGGAAAGGUUAGAUACAUUUAUGGGAAAGGUAUUUUGCAGAAGCUUUCCUGCUUCAUAGAGGUCUUGGACAAAAUGACCCAGGAGGCCCCUUCCAAGUCUAUCAAAUGUGGUUCCCUGAUUGAUGCUGUUUCCCCCCAAAGUCUUUUCAAAACACAAAGCACUGUUAUAAAAUUUAAUAUGAUACACUAUAUAACUUUAACACAAUGCCAUUUUCUUAUAGGAAAUGGUUAGCUGGUAGCACAGGAGCCUCGUGCAACAGGAAAAAAAGGUAGAAAAAAGAAAUUGCAGUGCAGCUUCUCUGCUGAGGGAUAUCGACUGUAACAUUUACCCUGUGUCUGAGCGUGGACUCUCAGCUGUGCAGGGGGACACCAAGCCAGGGAAGGGUAUAAGGAACCCAGGCUUAUUUAUUUCUCCAGAAAAACCUGACAAGGCCUGAGGUAAUUUUCUGUGCUGUGCAAUAAUCAUUCCCUCAAUGCUGGGGAGCAAAUGGACACCCAGCUCUCCUUGUAAAUCACUGCCUGGUGCUGCACUGGCUGGGCAGAGGCAGAGCUGCCUGGGGAGCAGGAGAGGAGCUGGAGGCACAGGGCUGGAGCUCAGGUGUGUCCUGCACCUCUGAGAACACCCCUCAAGGAGAAGAGCUGAGCUCUGUAACUCAGCACUCUGUGCCAUGACCCUGGCCUGGCCUGCUGCCACCCCUGCUGCACCACGGAGCAGGGGAGUGAAUCCCUGAAAACUGGGAGUGCCAAAACUGCACUUCUAAAAAAGGGCAGCAGCACCCCUGGUAACGUGUUUGUCUGCUGAGUAAAGACUCAGCAAGAGAGCUUGGGCCACAUUUCCCCUGUCUGAAUACAAGAUUGUUUGUCAGGCAGAAUGCUCUCCAGGUCUUCUAUGUUUCCACCAAACCAUUCAGUAAAAUGAUAAUAUUCCUCUCCCUACUAUAUUUCCCUUUUUUUUUGUUUUUGUUUUAAUUUUCUGAAUGUUUCCUAAAUUGGCUUUUUUUUUCCUUAACCAUUAACAUAUUUAAAAAUUAAAGUCAUGUGAUGAUUUUAAAAAAAACAACAAGAAAAACCCAACCAGAUUCUCUGGGCCAUCUGGUUGAAAUGCUCUGGUCAGCCUCCACUGCUCUGUAGUAAGUUUUAAUUUUAGAUUUUCACAGGGGGAAAAAAAAGAAAGAAAAAAAUACCCAGAAUUUUAUUGAAUUGGAGUUUACUUUCAAAAUAAUUUUACACUAACCUUUUUAUUUUCACUCCAACUGAUUUAGUUAAAGGCCAAACUCUUCUUCUAAAAAUCAGCUCCCAGCCCCCAUCUUCUUGGGAUAGCCCUGACAGGAAAUAACAACAUCCAUACACAGACACUCUGAAGCCUUUUGAAGUCUCACAAAUGUGAGCUGUUCCCUUUUGCAGAGCAGGCUGGGAUUAACUCUUUUAUUAACCUUAUAACCUCAUCCAUGAGAAAAAAAAUUAGCCAAUCCCUUUUAUUUUAUUUCUUUUAAAAUCUGGAUGCAUGCUGCCUUCUCUACCCAAACAUUUGUGAGCUCACCCUACAGACAGGAGCAAAAGAGCCCUUGGAAAGCCCCCUCUCCCUGAGGAGCUCCCCAAAGCCCCCAUUGGGCCCUCCCAUUAUGUUGCACUCAGUGUCAAAUUUUGUGUUUUCACUGGAAAAUAUUUUCGCUUUACAGGAGGGUUGUGUCUCUGUGUAUUGGUGGGAGCAAAUAACAACCUUUUGGUCCUUUUCAACACAUUGCAUCAAUGUAUUUUCCUGAUUCUCAUGUCAAAAAAAGCAUCUUUUAGCAGAAUGAAAAAUCUGACCUGGGUGUAAUCCUGACAGUGCUCCAAUUGCUCAUCCUUAGCUUCAUCCCUGCACUGCAGUGCAGAGAAAGAGGCUCACAUUGGAAUAGCUCUUCUCACCAGUGUCAAAUGGUAAAAAUUUGCUCAGAGAGUGACAUGAGCAGGAAUUUCAAAGGCGGGAAAAUUUAUCUCCUGCUCUUUGUCUUACUCUAUGGUGCACUGUGGUGGUUGGAAGAUUUAAGUUCCAAGCAUCCCAUCUAUAUAAAUCCUAGUGGAAAACAACUCCCCAGAUUCUUUUUUUUAGGGUGUUGAGCUCAGCAGCUGGAAUCUGCCAGGGAAUGAUAGCCAAGAUAAGGAUGGAGAAAAACUUUCUGUGGCCUUCAGGUGUUGGUCAAGGGUCAGGAUUAGGGAACAGCCAAAGCCAAACAGAGCUCUGUGUGUCACACAAGGUCACAGCUCUUUAGUUUGGGGUUUGGGCCAGUCCUGCCCCUGCCCUGCUCGGCUCAGCCCAUUUACUGCUCUGGUGAUACAGCCCCUCCUGGGCUUUCUGCUUUUCAAAGGUUUACACUCGCUUUAAAUCUCAAUCAAAAGCUCCACUUUAGCUUUUAGGAGACCAAGACACUUACAAAUCUCCGGUGGGAAGGGCAAGUGAGGAAGGCAGAGUGCCUCUCCCUUGCAAAGGCAUUCAGACACCACUUGGAUGAGGAGUUCCCAGCUGCUUUGCUGGAUAAACAGACACAGCACAGUUCUAAUGUGCAGGGGUGCCCUUCACACCAACAGGCAGAGAAAAGAGGCAAUGGGAAGAGUAAGAGGCACCACAAUAAAAAAAGGCAGGAGUUCCAACUGAAAUUUUACCCUCUUUGAUUUUUGAAAAUGGGAAAACCCAUUCGGGAUCAGGGAUUUCCAGACUGGGCUGUAUGCACCAUUAAUUGUUCCAUGAAGCAGAGCUGGUCUGCUAUUGUUGCAUCCUCCAAAAACAGCUGUUACUAUGAGCUCUGUGGGACUCAGGAACUCCAUUUCCCAGUUUUCACUUAGUACUUCAGUGAUCAUACAUAAAUAAUAGUAAUGAUAAAAAUAACAAUACCUGGCUUGCCAUUAUGUUGUACGCGGUCUUUGUGAUACUCUCUCACGAUAAAAUCUGGGUAUUAAACACUUUAACUGAAACUCUUAAUAAAACAGAGAUAUUUUUACUUGUGCUGUUAUAUUCACAUUGUGAUCACAAAGCACUUUACAGAAUCAAAUGGAAGUAGCCAGUCUGAUCCUUGUAUAGAGGAUUUUGUGCAUCUCAGCAGUGUGUAACAAAGCUGCUGUACAGGCAAGUAGCUGUCAAACAUACCAUGUUUUGGGGUUUCUUCUGGCUGAGCAGCAUCCAAAAGCUUGGGGUUUGUGCUUCAGGUUGGCAUCAAAAUCUGUAAAGCCACCACAAAUUGCACAACAAGAGGGAAUGUAUGGUCUCAACAACUAGACAAGAACAGGCUGUGGUGUCUCAUUAUCAAGGUCCCUGGGUCUCAAAGGAAAAAGAAAAAAGGUUAUAAUUUUCCAGGUUUAGGAGAAAAGCCACGGAAGUCUUGGAGCUGAGCAGUGAGCAGCCUCCAUGGGGUCACUGCAAGGGGACAAGGCAAAUGCUCAUGGUAAAUGGUGCCUUCUGAGGUGUGAGAGGGUCUCCAGCUUUGGGCCCUGUACCAGGUACUUCUGGAGCUGUGAGACAGUGAGGGGCUUUGUUCCCUCCUGUAUAAUUGAUAAAUUACCAUUGUUAGCACUAAACAAUACAAGUGAGCACAGAAUGGAAACACGCUAAUGCUUUAUCCAGCUCCAGCAAUUCUGCUCCUGUGCUCACACUGUUCUUAAAUGUGCUAGGUAUUUGUUUGAUGAAACAAUAAGUUUUAGAAAAGAGAAAAAUAAGAACUUCAAAGAUAAUAAAAACCUUGGCUACAUACUUUACCACAGGCAGCUGUGAAUAAGCUUCAGUACUCUUUAUUUUUAACAUUCCAGAUAUGUAAUUUAAUGCAGGUCUAAUGACAAUCUCGAACAUGCUGCUUUAAUCGAAAUUGUUCAAGCUCUGUUCUGUGACAAGGGCUCACAAGAUACCAGCAGGGUUGUCCAUUUUCCCCACUUGUGUAGGGAAAAGAAAAAGGAGGGGAGGGGGACACUCUUGAACUUAUGUUGCUAUUGAUGUGUAAUAUACAAUAAAAAAACAGUUAAAUUUCAAUUACCCACAGGUAAUUAUAAUUUUAUUGUUUGACUGUACUAUGGGGAAUUUUGUAAUUCCCAAGACUAAUAAUUUUCUAUAAUUUUACAGGUUGUCAAAUAAACUAUUAAAGAUUAUCUUUGAAAAGGAUUCUGCAAUUGUAAGGACAUAUCAUACUGUUCCUGUACAUUAUUAGUAAUUAGAGAUCCCUGGAUAGUGAAAUAUCCACACUAUAUGCUAGCUGCUGGAUACCAUAUUUUCUCACAGCCUCCUGUAAUCUUGAACCAAAGCUUUCAAACUUCUCAGCCAUUGUAGCCUGAGUCACGUCCAAACUUUUAUUAAUAUUCACUGAGCACUCAUUAAGCAAUUCUGGUGUGUUCCAUCCAUUAAACCUGUGCUUCCUGACAGGGAAAAGCAAAGGCUCCCAGGUCCACCCCAGAGCACUGGAAACAAACACAAAAGGACUCAUUCUGAACUCUGUGCCCUGAAGAGGAGAUAGGGAAGAAGCAAAGUUUGUACCAGCACAGAAGAUGUGACUCUGCCCUGACAGUGCCUUCUGACAAUGAGUGGCUUGCACAAGAUGGAUUUUGCUUCCUGAUUUUAUCCUAAAAACAUGCAUAGAUGCAGAUAUGGUGGGGGUCAGCAUUGCAUGUCCACGAGGAAGGGAAUGGCAGGGGCAAGGUCUCCAGCCCACAAGAAGCAAAUGAACUGGGGGUAUGCCCUCAUGCUCAUCAGCAAGUCCCCCAGAUUUACUGGGCUGUUGGUGAGGAACUCCCCAGGCCAGUAGAUACCGACAUCUGCCCAGCUGAGCAGGCAGCAGCACCUUCCCCAGGUAAUCUGGGAGAAGCCGGAGGCACUAGAGCAGCAUGUGCUGGGUGACAGCAUCCCUUACCUGCACAGCGCUUGGUGAGAUCCUCCCAGCCUUGCAGGGCUGCAGUGCUGAGGAGGAGCGAGGAGGGAUGAGCUGAGAGGAAGAGCAGCCCCUGAAGCGUUGCAGGAGCAGCUGGCACAGCCUGUGAGGGCAGCGAGCUGGGGUUCAGCAGCUGAGAGAUGGCUGAGCUCUCGCCUGCAGAGCCAUCAAAGGCACCAUUCUUGGCUGGCAGCAUUGUUUAUUGCAGCUGCCCCAGGAGAUCAUCAUUAUUUGUUUGAUCAGCCUCUCAGAUGGCUGUGGGUGAGGGCUCUGUGCAGGGGGGACUUCACUGCCUUAAGAGCAGUCUCAGGACGUGGGGACUCUCAGGCUUCCACCCCAGGGUUUGCACAGCCCCAGACUGUGGGGACACGGAGCAGGAGCAGCCUCUCAGGGCUCUGGGCCCAUCUGCAGGGGGGAUUUGCCCUGUUCCCGGUGCCAGGAAGCCUCUGUGGCAGCUGCAGCGCUCAGCAAGGGGCCUGGGCAGGGAUUUCCCUCCCACCAGGGAGCCCAGGGUGGAUUGUGUUGGUUUUACGGCGUGGAGCUGGUGGAGCAGUAUAAAGAUACGGGAGCACAGGGAAGGAUUAAGGCCAAUGGACUGCAGCUCCCUGCCUGCCUCCAGAGACAACUUGGAGCCCAUCAAAGGUAUUAAAUCUGAGGAGCCACUGCAGACACACACGCUGAGCUCUUUUCCAAGGCCUGCUCGCCUUGCUGUCCAGAGCUCAUGUGGCACCUCUGGGAAGGUGUGGGAAGAAGGAAGAGUUGAUAAUUUGGAAAGCUCUUCACUCAGUGGCAUUCCCUGCUCCUGACCGGCCUCUCUGCCUGCUAACCCAGCUCACUGAGACUGAACCCAUUCCUGCAGAUGAUGGGCACUUACAAUAAAUAGAGGGAAAAUCCAGAGCCCACAGAGAAGGCUCAAUAUGCUUCUGGGUAACAGACAGCACCAUACACACACACAGAGCCCUCCUUCCCCUUAAUUCUGGUCUGUGCUUUUCCUGCUUAACACAUUCCUUGUUGCAAGGAGAACACGUUCUGACAACUGAAGAGUGAAAGCAAUUAGAAACAGAAUUAAUUGAUAAAACUAAAGCCCUGCUUUCCUUAUGUUUGUCAUAUGACUACAAAUAUUGUCACUCCCAUUAAUAUUAAUUAAUAUAAUUAUCAAUGUUUCUAAUCCCUACACAUUUUGUUGAAAAGUUACUCUUAGCUCAAGAAUAUAAUUGUUAAGUCGUGGAAAUGUUAAGUAGCAGCUAAGUAAGUCCAAAGAAUUAAUAGCAAACUGUAGUUUAUCCAGGGAUUAGACUUUUAGCAAUACAUAAUCACCUCUUCAUGUGUUCAUCCACAUAAAAUACCUUCCAUCCCUUACUACACUUCUGCCUACUUGUCCUUGCAGUGCACAGUUUUCAAUAAUUAAAAAAAAGACAGAAAGUAAAUAUUCUGUGCAGUUGCACGCUGUUCUUCAAGGUAAGUCACUGCACCAAGAGUUCUGUGCCCACAGCUGAGAGUAAAGUCAAGGUCAAUUAUCUCAGGCUGAAAGCCCAAAUGCAGGCUACUUCUGUGAUCAGAAUGAUCUGUGUAACACUGCAAAGCCUUUGUUUUGGAGUCAGGCAAAGCAACUCCUCUCUCUCCCAGCUUCCCCACGGAUUGUCUAUCAGUUGGACUGUCCCAGAUUAGUGGAAUAAUCCAAAACAACCCCAGCCCUGCCCUGCUGCUGCCAUGGAGCCGCCUCUCCUGGCGGGCGCUGCAGCAGAGCCUGCCCAGCCCCUGCACCGUUGUUCCUGCACGGACACUCGGCAGCUCCUGCCUGGCACAGCAGGCAGCAGGGCGAGGUGCAGCAUUCAUCAGCUCUUCUGGAAAACAGCCAAAGUGCUCUAAAGGCCUUUGUUGUAGGGUACAGGGGUGUUUCUGCUAGAAGAGAAUAAUGUAAUCAUUUUGCUAUUAAUUUUUAAUUGUAUGUUGCUCUGCAUUAUUACCAGUGUAUACUGAUUUUCCUGAGAGAAACGGGGAUGCUGUGCAAGUAGUUUCUGUUAGGAAUGCUGUUGGGCCACGCUGGAAAAGAAGUGACAGAAAAAAGCUGUUCUUCAAAGUUACUGCAGUCACCUGCUGCUGUCUAUUCCUACAAGGUAUCACAUUAAAUACUUAUAAAAUGUAUGAGCUCAAGAAGAUUCAUGGAGAACUGCCACAGUUUUCCCUGUUGUCAGGUGUUUUUCUUUGCUUGUUUUUGUGGAGGUUUUUUUCUUUUUUUUUAAUGGCCACCCUUUGUAAGGAAAAGUUACUUCUGAGAAAUAUUUUGCAAGCAAAUUAAACUCACUGAUGUGGAUGAAAUCAGUAGCAAGAGUAAGAAAUGCAUUAAUUCUUCUCAGAAGACAAUCUUUAUCAAAAAUGCUAAGAUGCAGCCCACUGAUACAGUUAAACUUUCUGGUAGAAACAUGAUUGUAUCACUCACUUGUGCCCACUCACAAAUCCUUCAUUUCAUCUAAGAGAAAACUGGCCAUGAGGGGACCGGAAAUCUUUAAUCUGCUUUUCUCCAUUUCUUCAAAUAUCUGGUUCUUAUCAAGCCGCAUCGAACACGAGCGACACAAAACCCUCAUGUCCUGCACUCCAUAAAACAAAUGCAAACAAAGCACAGACACGUCGGCAGUGUGAGCAGGAUAACAAAGUAUUGCAUGGCAGCAAGCCUGCAGAGCACUCCUGGAAAGGCAGCUCUGCCUGCACAUUCAGGAACAAGAAAUCAAUUAGACCAAGAAACAAGUUAUGCAGAAAAAUCUACACUUUGCCACUGACCUAAGUAUCAGGAGUAGGGUAAAAUCAGCUGUUCCCCCCAAUAUUUGAUUAUCCUUUGUAAAGAAAAAUCAUGGGUUUUUUUUGCUCUUGAAUCCCUAAUACUAAUUAUGCAUUACAAUAUAAUACUACUUGUAUUAUACCAUAUCCUAUAAUGUAUAAUCCCUAUAAUAAAUCACACUAUGAUAAAUAUUUUAACUAUAUAUUAAUGUAUUCAUAAAAUAAACAUGUAUAAAUAUAUAGUUAGCUUAAAUAACCAUAUACUACUAUGUGUUUAAAAUAAUUUUAUAAAUUAUUUUAUUUUUGGGCAGAUAUUCAAGGUUAGCUGUAAUUUUUUGGACAGCUGGGAAAUUCUGGUGAGAGUUUGCAAAGUUUGCACCUAAUUGAAUUAGCUUCAAAACAGAGAAAUAGGUGAUUUGAUAAAGAAGAAUUAGACACAUUAAAUUUUCAGUUAAAAAACACGAUUUUCUAUCUGGCCAGUUCUAAACUGCAGUUUUAGUCCUGGCAUAAGCCCAUGAUCAUCAGUGAAAAAUGUGCCUUCAUCUUCUCCAUAUCCAGUGCUGCAGGAUCUCCAGGGGUGACUCAGGAAAGCUCUGAAACAUUCACAGUAAGUCCAGUAAGCACUUUCCCAAAAAGUGAUUCUUUCCUGAGCUGGGGCCAAAAUAGGGCAAGUAAAGGGAAAACCAAAAAUGCAGACUGUGAAGCAACCUGCCCAUAAUUUCCAUCAAAUCAGAGAUUAAACCUCUUGCACAGUAGCCUCUUCUAGGGGGACUGCAUUCAUCAUUCCAGGAAUUAGUCUAACCAAGGCUUAUUAUUACUGCAAAACUUAAAAUACAGUAUGUUAUUAAUUUGGAUUAUGCUGUUGCUUCACAGCUUUGGAAAAACAAAACAAAAACUCCUGAAUUUGCAUUCACCUUUAGUAGCAAGGUUCUGUUCUCUGCCUGUUUGAGAUAUUUCUUUCCAUCUCCUGCACCAUCAUGUUUCAGUUCCUGAGAGCUGUAGAUAUUUAUUCAGUGCCCUUCUAUCUUGGCCAUCACAAACAGCUCUCUGAUAACAAAUCACACUCUCUGAGCAUCAUUUGCUACCAGAAAGGAUCCUCAAGGAGCACACGCUCUGUGACACAGGAUAUUCCCUGCUUUGCUGUGAAUGCCAUAAAGAGUUUCACAAAAUCAGCCUCCUUGCAUUGAGAGGGUAAGAAUGCAUCAUCUCAGUAGUUUUACCACUUCUUAUUGCCUGGUUAGGCUUCAUGCUUAGUCCCUGCUCCCUGGCUCUUCAAAUGAAUGCUGCUACUUAAACACAGAGAGCGAUAUGUGCUUAGUGAGAGACUCAAGGAUUUCAGCCAUCAAUAGAGGUUUAAUUAUGUGCUGGUGGAUGCUCAGGUACUACAACGAUGGCUGUUGUAUAAAUUGCACAAAGCCAGCACAGAAGAGACCACUCACAGCUCAUCCUACACUCUGCUCCUGCAAUUUAGACAAAAUAAAAUGUAAUGCAUGGUAUUAACUUGCAUCUUCUUCUUGCCUAUGUCAUAACCCAUCAUGUAAUGUGAUGUUAUUCCGUGUCGUGUCAUGAGUAACAUGAUGCAACACAAUGUCACACUUCAGGAAAUAUUACUGAGCAAGGGCUGAUUCUUGUUAGCAGUUCAGAAUGCGAGCCUCUGAUCCAAACAUAUUGUGGCUGUGGCUGAUGGGAAGGCAUCAAACUGAGAGCUGCGUUGGGCAAAUGUUUUUCUUCUCUGGCUUGGCCAGCAGAUGUCCAUUUGUCAGGUUUGGGUUCAAUUGAGAUUUCUUUGUCACGAGCACUUUCUCUUGUAAAAGAAAUAGCAAUUUUAUGGCAAGCCAAAUACUGAAAAGAAAAGCCCUUAGAAAUACAUAAUAAAUGUAUAUUAGCGAGACAGAAAAUUGGAAAAUGGCCACCUGCCAGCAGCCACAUAAAUUUUGGAGGCAAUGCAUUUUUCUGCCAUUAUGCAUUAUCACAGGAAUUGCAAAUAUUUAUUAAAAGUAUUAAAAUGGUGAGAAUGUUAAAUGUUUCCUUCAGUAGUGGAAAUUCACAGUGCCACAUAGAAGAUAGGAUAUUCUGAUACAAUGUUUAUUAAAAUGACUUCAUUUUAUUAGGCUGUCGUACACAAUAAAUGUGCAGGUACAGUUAACAAAAGAUCUAUUGUGGAUAUGGGAGAUUUGUGAGUAACACUUCAAAAAAAUAAUCUCUUCUGAACUCUAUUCAUAUAAAAAGCAUGCUACAAACUUUCAUUAACUUCCUUAGAACCAAUUAUUUUCUGAGCUUAUUUUCUUUUUCUGCCAUCCCCCUGUAUUUUGUUAGUCAAUUUGUUUACUCACGUUUUAAUGCUUAACAGGAUUAAAUGCAGUUUAUCUUUAAUUUAUAUACAAGUGAGCUGAGUGUAUAUGUGGAGCAGGCAACAAAAUAUGACGAUUAUUUUGGGGUUCAUUUACAGGUCUAAACAUGAAUGACUGUAAUAUAUUGGCACCUCAGUAUCUUUUCAUCCAUAAGCAAAACAAUAUUAAAAGAUCAGUGGGAGCUCCAUAAUAUUGAUUGAGAAGAAAAUCACAUUCUGGUUUUGCUCACAUUUUCUGCUGGGAUUAAUCACAGUGAUUUUGUUUCCAAGGUUUUGUUGCAGCAAGAUACAGACUCGGGCACACCCUGACGGGGUCACUUUGCUGGUUGGCUUUGCUGGGCCCUGAGCCCCUUCCAGCAGCCCCCGAGCACUGACGGGGACAGUGGCAUAGUCCCUGCAAAAACAGGAAUCUGCAGUGAAAGCAAGGAGGGUGGCUCUUGCCUUCACAACUGAAAGUGUCCUCAGAAUAGCUUCUAAAAGUCAUUUUUUAAUGUAAGAAAUGAGCAGAGAAAUAAGGAACCACUACUGAGAGUUUUUUUCUUACACAAGUGUUCCUCAAUUCCUUACAGUCCAUUAGGGAAGAGGUGGGAUUGGAGUCUAUGUUGUAGGCAGGGGGUGAAUAGAUCAAAGUUACAAGACCUCGGAUUUAUGGAGAGUCUCAUGCAAGGAAAAAUCUGCCUCUGGAAGAUAAAAUUUCAGAAAUAAAGGAUUUUUCUCUCUGCC